CAGGAGGUCGUGGGUUCUAUCCGAGGACACUGGGAGAUGUUGACUACCUCGCCUGUUCUACAGGAGGUCGUGGGUUCCAUCUGAGACACUGGGAGAUGUUGACUACCUCGCCUGGUCUACAGGAGGUCGUGGGUUCUAUCCGAGACACUGGGAGAUGUGACUACCUCGCCUGGUCUACAGGAGGUCGUGGGUUCUAUCCGAGACACUGGGAGAUGUUGACUACCUCGCCUGUUCUACAGGAGGUCGUGGGUUCCAUCAGAGACCCUGUGAGAUGUUGACUACCUCGCUGGUCUACAGGAAGUCGUGGGUUCCAUCCGAGACACUGGGAGAUGUUGACCACAUCGCCUGGUACACAGGAAGUCGUGGGUUCCAUCAGAGACACUGGGAGAUGUUGACCACAUCGCCUGGUACACAGGAGGUCGUGGGUUCCAUCCCAGACACUGGGAGAUGUUGACUACCUCGCCUGGUACACAGGAGGUCGUGGGUUCCAUCCCAGACACUGGGAGAUGUUGACUACCUCGCCUGGUACACAGGAGGUCGUGGGUUCCAUCCCAGACACUGGGAGAUGUUGACCACAUCGCCUGGUACACAGGAGGUCGUGGGUUCCAUCCGAGACACUGGGAGAUGUUGACUACCUCGCUUGGUACACAGGAGGUCGUGGGUUCCAUCCUAGACACUGGAAGAUGUUGACUACCUCGCCUGGUACACAGGAGGUCGUGGGUUCAAUUCUAGAUCCUGGGAGAUGUUGACUACCUCGCCUGGUACACAGGAGGUCGUGGGUUCCAUCCCAGACACUGGGAGAUGUUGACUACCUCGCCUGGUACACAGGAGGUCGUGGGUUCCAUCCGAGACACUGGGAGAUGUUGACUACCUCGCAUGGUACACAGGAGGUCGUGGGUUCCAUCAGAGACACUGGGAGAUGUUGACCACAUCGCCUGGUACACAGGAGGUCGUGGGUUCGAUCCCAGACCCUGAGAGAUGUUGACUACCUCACCUGGUAGUUCAAUUUUGCCAAUGAAAAGCUGUCACAUGGAAGGAGCUGUGAUCUCGGUGAUGGUGAUGAUGGUGGUGGUAGUUGUGGGUAUUGAGAUUUGCUGAUGUUACCAAGGUUUUGAUGUUGCUGAUUAAGUUUGACAUUGUUUGAAUUAAAUAAUUGAAGCAA